GAGAAACUGGCCACUGAAAAGGUAGGCAGGGGCCAGAGGAUCUCAAGCUCUGCAACUCAGAUCUUACGUGAUGACAGGCUCUCCAUGAUCCAGUCCCCAACUACCUCUUGCCCAGCACAACUUCCUUGUCACUGUGCUCUCUCUGCCUUGCUGACCUCAGAACAAGACAAGCUGUUUUUCUGCCUCAGGACGUUUCCUCCCCUCUUUUGUUGAGAUACAAUCUUGGACAGAGGCUGACUGUUUGGAUUCUGUGGAAGCCUACAUAAGGACAAUGGAAGAAGGAAGGUUCGUUCUUCACCUGCUUGCCCUCACCUUGUCAGCACAUGCAUUCCUUCACUGGAAUUGGAGCCUACCUCUCUGGGAUUCCAGCAUCUACAGAAGACCAGCUGAGACAUCCAAUCUCAUCGUGGGACUGAGCAACUACUAGAUUCUUGGACUUUCCGUUCACAGCUAGACAUUGUUGGACUGCAGCCUGUAAAUCUUUCCAAUAAAUCCCCCCCCAGACUCAUUCCAUAAAUUCUGUGACUCUAGAGAACCUGACUAAUACAUCAAACCUCCUCAUGUCGUGACCCUUAAAUACAGUUCUUCAUGUUGUGGUGCCCCCCCAACCAUAAAAUCCUUUCAUUGCUACUUCAAAACAGUAAUUUUGAUACUUUUAUGAAUUGCAAUGUAAAUAUCUGAUAUAUAGGAUAUCUGAUAUGCAACCCCAAAGGGGUCACAACCCACAUGUUGAGAACCACUGAUGUCGAGUGUGGAUUACUAUACCUCAGUCUUACCAAAGCAGAAUUCUGAGAGUGAGGCCCGCAGACCUGCUUUUGAACCCUGUCUCCAGGUGAUUCUUGUGUACACAGAGACUUAGCACCCAUCAAAUUCAAGGCUUGGUAGGCCUUGGGAAAAUUUAAGUUUUCUUUUUUUCUGAGAUCUGACCCACUGUGUCAGUUUCAUGAAUUAGGAGUUCAGGAGAGUGAUGGUCUUAAAUCAUGCUGCCCGCUAUAGGAUGGACUGAAGGGCAACACAGAAAGAUGAUGACCAGGUAGGAGACGGGGGACAACAGGCCAUGCCAAGGGAUUAUGGUGGCCUGGAUAGUGUGUUGACAGUGGAGGUUAUGAGAAAGAUGAAUGUGUGGUACCAACACUGAGGUGGAGUUGGAAGGAAAGAGAGGAACUAAAGUUAACCUAGAUGUUUAGCCUAAGCCAUUGGAUAGGUUGCAUUAGCAUACUUAGAGUUGAAGGAAACUGAUAGAGGAUUGAGAUUGGGUGGAAAUACAUGUAUUUGGGGUAAAAGUUCAUUUUGCGCAUGUGAAGCUUGUGAUGCCUAUGGGUUUUUCAAAGGUAGAUAUCAGCCAACUAAUUUGACACAUUGGGCAGAAAAAGAGAGAUGAGCUGGAAAUAGACAUUUAGAGUCGGGAUCAUUGUAGUGAUAUUUAAGGCCAUGGCAAAUAAUAAGAUACCAUGAAAGGCAGUUAUGGACAAGCAGAGUAGAACUGUUAAGAAAAGGUCAGCCCUGGAGAAGAGGCUUAAUGGGUGUGAAGAAGCCUAAAUGACUCAUUAGAAGAUCUAGUUCCACAGAAUGGAACACGAGUUGGUCUGUAGGAAGCCUAUGCAUGGGGUAGAUGGCUACACGAGGCGAGUUAGACCU